UACGUAGGGUGCAAGCGUUGUCCGGAAUUAUUGGGCGUAAGAGCUCGUAGGCGGUCUGUCGCGUCGGCCUGUAGAAAUCCCGGAACGCUCAACUCCGGGGUCUGCAGGUCGAUACGGGCAAACGUGGAGUACUGCAGGGGAGACGUGGAAAUUCCUGGUGUAGCGGUGAAAUGCGCAGAUAUCAGGAGGAACACCAGCGGCGAAGGCGCUUUCUGGACAAUACUGACGCUGGAGAACGCGAAAGCGUGGGGAGCAAACAGG
rnacentral:rRNA from 1 species